rnacentral:rRNA from 1 species
AUGGAAUCCUCCCAUAUCACCGGGGAUGGUGGCGAGGGCUGCAACAGCAGCGAGUCUGGGUGGACAAUGUACCUGGUCUCCCCCAUGCAAAGCCGCGACGACGACGAUGGUGGUAGCCGCAAGGGAAGCGGCAGCGAUGGAAGCAAUGUCGAUGAUGGUUAUGGCUACACUUACCUCGUCCGUGGCAGGAAAGGAGGCAAGGAAUACCAGGACGAUGGCGAUGACAACGACUCCCUUGCCUCCGAUGCUUCGACUGGACCAGCCAAGGUCAAGGCGCAGCCCUCGUCGCCUGACGGCAAAGAAAGCCAAGGCCAUCGAAAGGACGGUGACAACGACGGCGAGAAGCGGGAGGAGGACGAGGAAGAAGAAGACAGGCACACCAGGUUCUCGACGAGCUCCCGCAAGAAAGCCGGCAACAAGGCGGAGAAAGGGGGCGAGGGCAAGUCAUCCAAGAAGAAGGGAAGCUCCUCAAGGACAAGCUUCUUUUGA